UUUCCGUAGGUGAACCUGCGGAAGGAUCAUUACCAGGAAAAGGGUGCCCUCGCGGCCCCGAUUCUCAAACCACUGUUUACCAAACGUUUCGUUGCCUCGGCGGGCCGGCCAUCUGGCUCGACCAGCGGCCCCCCCCUCCGCCCCUCGGGGCGAGGAAGGGAGCAGCCCGCCGCAGGACGCUACAAAAACCAUUCUGUUCGAAGAACGUCUGAUUUUACCUUCGCGAAUGCGAUAAAUACAACUUUCAACAAUGGAUCUCUUGGCUCCAGCAUCGAUGAAGAACGCAGC
rnacentral:misc_RNA from 1 species